GACGAACGCUGGCGGCGUGCUUAACACAUGCAAGUCGAACGGAAAGGCCCUGCUUGCAGGGUACUCGAGUGGCGAACGGGUGAGUAACACGUGGGUGAUCUGCCCUGCACUUCGGGAUAAGCCUGGGAAACUGGGUCUAAUACCGGAUAGGAGCCAUUUUUAGUGUGAUGGUUGGAAAGUUUUUUCGGUGUAGGAUGAGCUCGCUGCCUAUCAGCUUGUUGGUGGGGUAAUGGCCUACCAAGGCGGCGACGGGUAGCCGGCCUGAGAGGGUGGACGGCCACAUUGGGACUGAGAGACGGCCCAGACUCCUACGGGAGGCAGAAGUGGGGAAGAUUGCACAAUGGGCGCAAGCCUGAUGCAGCGACGCCGCGGGGGGGAUGACGGCCUUCGGGUUGUAAACUCCUUUCGCUAGGGACGAAGCUUUUUGUGACGGUACCUAGAUAAGAAGCACCGGCUAACUACGUG
rnacentral:rRNA from 1 species